rnacentral:lncRNA from 1 species
AAAAAGAAGAAGAAGAAGCAGUGGCUCCCCAGGUAGCUGCCAGGAAAUCAGCCCUGCCCCGCGGCACUGCUUUCACCCCGCCAGGGGUAAGAGGCGCACUUCCUGUGCCCUCCCCGUGGUCAGACUGGAGUGCAGAACCUGAGGAGACCCUCUCCAGUCCUGGACUCGGCCAAUGGAAGCUCGAAAAGGCGGGAAAAUAUUAAAUCUCAAGGCAACCCGAGUGCAAGGCCGAUCGGCUUUGUUUCAAAGCAGCGGAAUGCGCUAGGCUGGAGGCGCCAACAGGGGGCGCGGAUGGUGCGCCCCACCGAAGCGCUGUCAAGGCAGUGAAGCCGAACAGGAAACCCUCUCGCCUUAGAACAGGCAGCUGGUUGACUCUGUCUUUUCCCCAGACUAGGGCCAAGCCACCCCUUACCCAACCCGAAGUCCAGGAUCAGCGAGCUAUUCCGACUGGGGAAUCUAGCCAAAUGACAGAGCGCAAAGCCUCUUUGAGAACUCGCACAACGGAAUCUGGCAGGCACAUUGGCCCCAGAAGGCUGCCGCCUUUCUCUGUCUCUGAGAUUGAGCCAGAGUCACCCCCCAGCCACCAAAACUCUUCCCAGUAGCGCUCACAGCUCCCAGGGUGCGCCUGCUAAGCUGAGCUGUGGGACCUUUGGAAGGCUGGAACCAAGCGAGGCCGCUUUAAGAGCGCGGAGUGCGCGUU